GACGAACGCUGGCGGCAUGCCUAACACAUGCAAGUCGAACGAAACGUUCCGGUCUAGGUGCGCACGUGUGCGUAACGCCUGGGAACCUGCCCUUAGGUUCGGAAUAACUCACCGAGGGGGGUGCUAAGACCAAUAAUGUCAUCAGCCCAAAGAUUCGGCGGCUUGGGAUGGGCUCGCGGCUGAUUAGCUUGUUGGUGGGGUAAUGGCCUACCAAGGCGCCGGUGGGUAGCCGGCCUGAGAGGGUGAUCGGCCACAUUGGGACUGAGAUACGGCCCAGACUCCUACGGGAGGCAGCAGUGGGGAAUAUUGCACAAUGGGCGGAAGCCUGAUGCAGCAACGCCGCGUGCGGGAUGACGGCCUUCGGGUUGUAAACCGCUUUCGCCUGUGACGAAGCGUGAGUGACGGUAAUGGGUAAAGAAGCACCGGCUAACUACGUG
rnacentral:rRNA from 1 species